UGACUGUAAGCUGUGAUCUCAGUAUACAAAGCGUGACUGAAGCAGCAGCCUGCACAUGUGGAUGGUCAUCAGUGCCUCGCCCAGAGAUGCCUGGCCUUCAUCCAAAGGGACCCUGCUGCCACAAGUCCUCCAGGCAGCACCCGCGCACUGUGGCUCCUUCGCACUGAGUAUGUUGGACUCUGCCAUAGACUGACCCUCUUGUCUGGCUGCUGCAGUUUGUCUGUAAUGCCCUGACAUGUUGCAUUCUCCCCAUUUGGAUAAAUAAAAACAAAUGCUUCUGUCA
rnacentral:sRNA from 1 species